rnacentral:lncRNA from 1 species
GGGAAAUAACUCUCACAUGGAGUCUUUGUAUCGCUUCUGUCAAAAUUUAACAAAAACAUCCUGAGGAUAUAACGAGCAAUUUAAUGAAAUUAUUUUGUUGCUGUCUUUUAUGGUUACGGAGGAGAUGCACUCAAAAGGUUAGUAGUGUUGAACGUGAUAACUUCUACAAAGAAAAAGUACUCGGUUCAGCAGGGUCAUUUUCAAAGCCAAUAAAUAUGCAGUGCCAGAACAAAUACCAAACAUUUAAGCGACAUCUUACAAAACAAAAUAUAUAUGCAAGAAAGGAAGAAAAAAAUCAAUCAAACUAAAAU